UACGUAGGGGGCUAGCGUUGUCCGGAAUCAUUGGGCGUAAAGAGCGUGUAGGCGGCUCGGUAAGUCCGCUGUGAAAGUCCAGGGCUCAACCCUGGAAUGCCAGUGGAAACUGUCGAGCUAGAGUCCGGAAGAGGCGAGUGGAAUUCCUGGUGUAGCGGUGAAAUGCGCAGAUAUCAGGAGGAACACCGGUGGCGAAGGCGGGUCUCUGGGCCGAUACUGACGCUGAGGAGCGAAAGCGUGGGGAGCGAACAGG
rnacentral:rRNA from 1 species